ACCGGUUAUGCCGUAUCAUGCAAGUCGAGCGGACAGAUGGGAGCUUGCUCCCUGAUGUUAGCGGCGGACGGGUGAGUAACACGUGGGUAACCUGCCUGUAAGACUGGGAUAACUCCGGGAAACCGGGGCUAAUACCGGAUGCUUGUUUGAACCGCAUGGUUCAAACAUAAAAGGUGGCUUCGGCUACCACUUACAGAUGGACCCGCGGCGCAUUAGCUAGUUGGUGAGGUAAUGGCUCACCAAGGCAACGAUGCGUAGCCGACCUGAGAGGGUGAUCGGCCACACUGGGACUGAGACACGGCCCAGACUCCUACGGGAGGCAGCAGUAGGGAAUCUUCCGCAAUGGACGAAAGUCUGACGGAGCAACGCCGCGUGAGUGAUGAAGGUUUUCGGAUCGUAAAGCUCUGUUGUUAGGGAAGAACAAGUGCCGUUCAAAUAGGGCGGCACCUUGACGGUACCUAACCAGAAAGCCACGGCUAACUACGUGCCAGCAGCCGCGGUAAUACGUAGGUGGCAAGCGUUGUCCGGAAUUAUUGGGCGUAAAGGGCUCGCAGGCGGUUUCUUAAGUCUGAUGUGAAAGCCCCCGGCUCAACCGGGGAGGGUCAUUGGAAACUGGGGAACUUGAGUGCAGAAGAGGAGAGUGGAAUUCCACGUGUAGCGGUGAAAUGCGUAGAGAUGUGGAGGAACACCAGUGGCGAAGGCGACUCUCUGGUCUGUAACUGACGCUGAGGAGCGAAAGCGUGGGGGAGCGAACAGGAUUAGAUACCCUGGUAGUCCACGCCGUAAACGAUGAGUGCUAAGUGUUAGGGGGUUUCCGCCCCUUAGUGCUGCAGCUACGCAUAAGCACUCCGCCUGGGGAGUACGGUCGCAAGACUGAAACUCAAGGAAUUGACGGGGCCCGCACAAGCGGUGGAGCAUGUGGUUUAAUUCGAAGCAACGCGAAGAACCUUACCAGGUCUUGACAUCCUCCUGACCCCCCUAGAGAUAGGACUUCCCCUUCGGGGGCAGAGUGACAGUGUGCAUGUUGUCGUCAGCCUCGUGUCGUGAGAUGUUGGUUAAGUCCCGCCAACGAGC
rnacentral:rRNA from 2 species